GCCAAGGUGGUGGAACUGGUAGACACGACGGAUUCAAAAUCCGUUGCCCGUGAGGGCUUGAGGGUUCGAGUCCCUCCCUUGGUACCA
rnacentral:tRNA from 1 species